rnacentral:snoRNA from 1 species
GCGGUGAUGAAUAUGUGGUUUUGAUCAGCAGUGAGCUGAAAACUACAACCCAAAUCCUCUAAGAAGUUCUGAGCUC